rnacentral:lncRNA from 1 species
AAUCUUAUCAUUACCCAAAUUAAAACUCCUUUAGAAGAACCUUCAAACAAGACAAAGUUAUUAAGAUUGUUUUUUAUGCGCAAAACGAAAAAAGAAAAAAAAGAAAGAAGAGCAAGUCAUUGCAGAUGGAUGCAAGUUUAAAAACACUUGAAAGAAUGCAAGCACAAAUUGCCAAAGCAGAAAUUGAGGAGGAUCAACCUAUU